AUGAACGCGCGCGAGAGAGAGAGUCACAUAACAAUUAAAGCGUCGCUCAAGAUCAAAGCCGACAGGAUGGACGUCUACAUAGAGUUGCACUUCGUCGGCGACACCGUGGCGCCGGGUGAAGAUCACCACCGCGUCCGCCUUUUUGGCGACCGCGUCACCGGCUUGGUCGCCCAGACGCCCGUCGUUGGCUAG
rnacentral:rRNA from 1 species